rnacentral:rRNA from 1 species
AGUGAACGCUGGCGGCGUGCUUAACACAUGCAAGUCGAACGAGAACGGAUUAUAGCUUGCUAUAAUUGUCAGCUAAGUGGCGCACGGGUGAGUAAUAUAUAGGUAACGUGCCCUAGAGAGGGGAUAACAGUUGGAAACGAUUGCUAACACCCCAUAUGCCUUUAAGACUUAAGUCUGCAAGGGAAAUAUUUAUAGCUCUAGGAUCGGCCUGUACAGUAUCAGUUAGUUGGUGAGGUAAUGGCUCACCAAGACAAUGACGCUUAACUGGUUUGAGAGGAUGAUCAGUCACACUGGAACUGAGACACGGUCCAGACUCCUACGGGAGGCAGCAGUGGGGAAUAUUGCACAAUGGACGAAAGUCUGAUGCAGCAACGCCGCGUGGAGGAUGACACAUUUCGGUGCGUAAACUCCUUUUAUAUAGGAAGAUAAUGACGGUACUAUAUGAAUAA